AUUGAACGCUGGCGGCAGGCCUAACACAUGCAAGUCGAGCGGAUGAAGGGAGCUUGCUCCUGGAUUCAGCGGCGGACGGGUGAGUAAUGCCUAGGAAUCUGCCUGGUAGUGGGGGAUAACGUCCGGAAACGGGCGCUAAUACCGCAUACGUCCUGAGGGAGAAAGUGGGUGAUCUUCGGACCUCACGCUAUCAGAGGAGCCUAGGUCGGAUUAGCUAGUUGGUGGGGUAAAGGCCUACCAAGGCGACGAUCCGUAACUGGUCUGAGAGGAUGAUCAGUCACACUGGAACUGAGGCACGGUCCAGACUCCUACGGGAGGCAGCAGUGGGGAAUAUUGGACAAUGGGCGAAAGCCUGAUCCAGCCAUGCCGCGUGUGUGAAGAAGGUCUUCGGAUUGUAAAGCACUUUAAGUUGGGAGGAAGGGCAGUAAGUUAAUACCUCGCUGUUUUGACGUUACCAACAGAAUAAGCACCGGCUAACUUCGUG
rnacentral:rRNA from 1 species